AUACGUAGGGAGCGAGCGUUAUCCGGAUUUAUUGGGUUUAAAGGGAGCGUAGGCGGGAUAUCAAGUCAGCUGUGAAAUGUAGAUGCUCAACAUCUGCACUGCAGUUGAAACUGGUGUUCUUGAGUGCGUAAGAGGUAGGCGGAAUUCGUCGUGUAGCGGUGAAAUGCAUAGAUAUGACGAAGAACUCCGAUUGCGAAGGCAGCUUACUGGGCCGCAACUGACGCUGAAGCUCGAAGGUGCGGGUAUC
rnacentral:rRNA from 1 species